AUUGAACGCUGGCGGCAGGCCUAACACAUGCAAGUCGAGCGGAGCGGGGGACGGGUAAGUAAUGCAUAGGAAUCUGACACGUCUUGGGGGAUAACGUCCGGAAACGGGCGCUAAUACCACAUCCUAUCAGAAGAGACUAGGUCGGCUUAGCUAGUUGGUGGGGUAAAGGCCUACCAAGGCGACGAUCCGUAACUGGUCUGAGAGGAUGAUCAGUCACACUGGAACGUAGACACGGUCCAGACUCCUACGGGAGGCAGCAGUGGGGAAUAUUGGACAAUGGGCGAAAGCCUGAUCCAGCCAUGCCGCGUGUGUGAAGAAGGUCUUCGGAUUGUAAAGCACUUGAAGUUGGGAGGCGUUACCAACAGAAUAAGCACCGGCUAACUUCGUGCCAGCCGCCGCGGUAAUAC
rnacentral:rRNA from 1 species